rnacentral:lncRNA from 1 species
CCAACCACACAUCCCCUACUGUACUUUUAAGGGUGUCUUCUGGCCCGGGCCUAAACGGGCCUGACGGUCCGGGCUUCGCAGUCCCGGGCUUCGUGUGCCGGGCCUGGCGGUCCCAGGCCUGGUGGUCCUGGUGGUUGAGACCGGCCCGUGACAGGCCUAAGCCCACAGUGGUCAUGUGCCUGGCGGGCCGGGCCUGACGGAUUUUUUUUAAGGCAAUAUCUU